GAUGAACGCUGGCGGCGUGCCUAAUACAUGCAAGUCGAGCGAACAGACGAGGAGCUUGCUCCUCUGACGUUAGCGGCGGACGUGUGAGUAACACGUGGAUCCCCUACCUGUAUGACUGGUAUAACUUCGGGAAACCGGCGCUAAUACCGUAUAAUAUAUUGAACCGCAUUGUUCAAUAGUGAAAUACGGUUUUUCUGUCACUUAUAGAUGGAUCCGCGCCGCAUUAGCUAGUUGUUAAGGUAACGGCUUACCACGGCAACGAUGCGUAGCCGACCGGAGAGGCUGAUAGGCCACCUGGGAAGGGAGACAGGCACAAGACGCCUACGGGAGGCAGCAGUAGGGAACCUUAGGCAAUGGGCGAAAGCCUGACGGAGCAACGCCGCGCGAGUGAUGACGGUCUUCGGAUCGUAAAACUCUGUUAUUAGGGAAGAACAAAUGUGUAAGUAACUAUGCACGCCUUGACGGUACCUAAUCAGAAAGCCACGGCUAACUACGUG
rnacentral:rRNA from 1 species